UUCAAAGAACCUCUACUCUUUGCCUACAGUUUGAUUCAGAUCCACUGUUAAUUCCCAUGGGAUAAGCACAGUCUUCACUUGAGACUUGGUCAUUAUAAUAUCAACUGCCCAAACUUAAAAAAUGUGAACAGGUCUACAGACAAAAGCAUCACAAGUAGGAAAAAUAUAUAUGUGGCUAUCACCUACUCUAUACCUCCACCUCCACCUACUCUAUACCUCUCACCUCCAUUUUAGGGCCAGUCCUCUUCAAUGUUUUUAUAAACGAUUUGGAUGUAGGACUAGAAGCAAAUUUUUGAGCAUAUUUGCUGAUGACACCAAACUUGGAGGAGUUGUAGACUUGACUGAGGGUGGAAAGGCCUUGCAGAGAGAUCUGGACAGAUUGGAGAGCUGGGUGAUCACCAACCACAUGAAGUUUAACAAGAGCAAGCACCGGGUCCUGCACCUGGGACGGGGCAACCCUGGCUAUACGUACAGACUGGGCGACGAGACGCUGGAGAGCAGCCCCGCAGAGAGGGAUCUGCGGGUUGUGGUUGGUAGCACACUGAAUAUGAGCCAGCAGUGUGCCCUGGCAGCCAGGAGGGCCAGCUGUACCCUGGGGUGCAUCAAGCACGGCAUCGCUAGUCGGUCGAGGGAAGGGAUUGUCCCGCUCUACUCUGCACUGGUGCAGCCUCACCUCGAGUACUGUGUGCAGUUCUGGGCACCACAGUACAAAGAGGAUGUAAAACUGUUGGAGAGUGUCCAGAGGAGGACGAUGAAGAUGGUGAAGGGCCUAGAGGGGAUAACGUAUGAGGAGCAGCUGAGGUCACUGGGCCUGUUCAGCCUGGAGAAGAGGAGGCUGAGGGGGGACCUCAUCACAGUCUACAACUUCCUCGUGAUGGGGAGCGGAGAGGCAGGUGACCUAUUCUCCGUAAUCACCAGUGAUAGGACCCGCGGGAACAGUGUCAAGCUGAGACAGGGGAGGUUUAGGCUGGACAUCAGGAAGAGGUUCUUCGCCGAGAGGGUGGUCGCACACUGGAACAGGCUCCCCAGGGAAGUAGUCACUGCACCAAGCCUGUCUGAAUUUAAGAAGAGAUUGGACUGUGCACUUAGCCACAUGGUCUAAACUUUUGGGCAGACCUGUGUGGUGCCAGGAGUUGGACUUGAUGAUCCGUAUGGGUCCCUUCCAACUCGGGAUAUUCUGUGAUUCUAUGAUUCUACUAACAGCCAUAGACAGAGGGCAUGGCAUCUAAUCCACUAAUCCCCAGCAGCUGGAGAAAGGUCAUUACUUACAGAAAAGCUCAGAUCUUCCUAAAUCCUGAUGUCCCUUUAUAGCUAUA
rnacentral:lncRNA from 1 species